rnacentral:rRNA from 1 species
UACGUAGGGGGCAAGCGUUGUCCGGAUUUACUGGGCGUAAAGAGCGUGUAGGCGGCCAUACAGGUCCGUUGUGAAAACUGGAGGCUUAACCUUCAGACGUCGACGGAAACCGUGUGGCUAGAGUCCGGAAGAGGAGAGUGGAAUUCCUGGUGUAGCGGUGAAAUGCGCAGAUAUCAGGAAGAACACCAAUGGCGAAGGCAGCUCUCUGGGACGGUACUGACGCUGAGACGCGAAAGCGUGGGGAGCGAAAAGG